CGCCUGGCCUCUGGGCGGCUCCUCUUAAACGUUUCCAGAGAAUUCUGAUUCCCCAAAGUGUGUCUGCUUGUCUGCCCAGCGUGGACGCUGGACCGUGGUCUCCGUUCACAGCCCCGGGAGGUUUCACACAGGAGGAAACGAGGCUCAGAGACAGCCAGGAAAUGGCUCCGGUGCAUCCAGUCAGGCAGCAGCGGGUUUGGGAUUCGGGUCCGCUUCCAAAAAUUCUCUGACAAACCAAAGGAGAGAUGAGGACAAGGCAGGGGCAGGCGUCAGGAGUCCUGUGAGCACCCCAGGGUGUAGCUGACCUCGGGCCCCCCAAGGAGUCCAAAUCAAUCCGGCCUCGGGAUCCUACUGAGAGACAGUUCUGCUGUCUGCCUCUGUAUGACUGGAGAGAGCCAGCAACAGGUGCCCAUGCUCCACGGGCCACACACGAGGCGGGCACACUGAGAUUCAGGAACUCCCCACCUGAGCUGGCACCUUGCUGGAGCAUUGCAGAUGUAGCACCCAUACUCUCGUCUCCAGACCCCUCAGCCCAGAGCCAUUUCCACCAAAGAAGGGGCCUGGACACCCUGGAAGGCGAAGGCUCAUGGGGGCAGUCCACAGUGCCCAGCCUGAGGCCAGGCAUACAAAAGGCACUCAAAUAUUGCAGUUGGAACAAAUCAACAUGGACUGGACUCUGUAUUUUGGACACACCUACUCAUUACUGGGAAACCGUGUAACGUGGGGAAGAUGCUCAGAGUCCUCCUGAGACAGGCGUGGCUCGCAGGUGAAACUGCUGCUCGGGACACCUGCAUCCCACACCUGAGUGCCUGAUUCAAGUCCUGACUAUUCGGAGCCUCUCAUCUGGCUCCUUGCUAAUGUACCUGGGAGCCAGCAGGUCAUGGCCCAGUGCUUAGGUUCCGGCCACUCUCAUGGGAGACCCAGAUGGCAUUCCGGGCUCUUGGAACCAACUAGAAGGUGGAAGAUCUCUGUCUCUCCCUCUCUGUCACUCUGCCUUUCACAUAAAUCAAUAAAUCUUAAACAAACAAAAACCAGAUGCUUAGCUCAUGAU